CCGCCCCGCCCCGCCCCGUAUGAGGACGUCACAACGCGGAAGUAGUGCGAUCAGUUUCAGACUGAGACCUCCCCAACUCUGGGCAAUAUCUGGGAACAAAGCAAUAUCUCCCCCUUUCUAUUCCUCAUCCUGGGAGGGAGAGAGAAGAGGGAAGGCACUGUACACUUGUACCAACUGGCGGCGGAGAGUGUAAAUGCAAGAGAAGGGGUUUCAGAUUCUCUCUCUCUCAAGGCUUUCUGAUCCUCAUGGCAUUUAUCAGAACUGGAACGUGAAAAGGAUGGUGAGAACACUCAAACAACCCACCGUGGAGUUUGCAUUGCUGACAGAAAGCCGUUUGUGUUCAGCAGCAGCUUAGUCAUUCACGCACUAGGUGCUGUGAGAUUAAAAGUACGGACAGC